rnacentral:rRNA from 1 species
UACGUAGGGCGCAAGCGUUGUCCGGAAUCAUUGGGCGUAAAGGGUAGGUAGGUGGUCUCAUUUGUCUCGGGUGAAAGCCUUGGGCUUAACCCAAGAAGUGCCCGAGAAACGGUGAGACUGGAGUCCUGGAGAGGGUCGUGGAAUUCCCGGUGUAGCGGUGAAAUGCGUAGAGAUCGGGAGGAACACCAGAGGCGAAGGCGGCGACCUGGACAGGUACUGACACUCAACUACGAAAGCGUGGGGAGCAAACAGG